rnacentral:rRNA from 1 species
UUUGARAAAAUUUUAAAAAUUUGGAUUAUUGAACKGGAUUAGUMCCCAGGUAAUCAAAAUUAAUUAAUUCGGGAGUAAAGUUUUGUUUAAACCGAAAAAAUAUUGACUGACUCURGAUUUCUUUUUGGAAUAUGUGUAUGGAGAGCCCUCUUUAAUAGUAAAUCUUUUUUUGCACAUGUAUGAUUGUUUAGUUUUUAUUUUGUUUUGUAAYGCUUUUUUUAGAUUUAAAACAGAUAUAUACUUGGCUUAUGGGUUUAUUAAUC